UGGACCAAUGAUGACAGCUGGUGGCGUACGAGUCAUAUACGAUGAAUGCUAUGUGUCUGGAAGUCUGAGGUCCAU
ensembl:snoRNA small nucleolar RNA, C/D box 114-5